CUUAAACAUGCCGGAGGUUAUUGUUCAACAUAUAUUUUCAGUAUAUUAUUUUUAUAUUUAUUAACUGGAUUUGUUGUGUGUGUGUUUGUGUGUGUGUGUGUGUGUGUGUGUGUUCAGAACUCUCCGCCUGUUUCGAUGGGUUUCAGUCAGAUGAUGAAAGUUCUCAGCCUUCGCUUUAUGGUGAAGAAGAGGUGGUGGACGGAUUAUCAGUGGAGUGGCCAUGUUUACAGAAGGGUUCUUCACUGAGUGUACUGAAGGAAGUGCUCUGCGGUGUGAAGGCUAGUCUGAGUGUGUUGGCCCAGUUGCCGGUUCCGACCCGCUCGUCUCUUCUGCUCCUGUUCCGUCAGAUUCUGCUGAAACCGACUCUAAAGCUCCUCUACUGUUUGGAGUACAAGUUGGAGACAUUCUGCAGAAAUCCCAGCCUUCCUGUGGACGACGCUUCAGACAAGCUAGUAGAGGACUUUCUGGAUCUGCUAUGGCCUCACAGAACCAUUAUUAAGAGAACCUCUACAGAACCAGUCACUCAAAACGGAUCUUCAUCACCUUCACUGUCCAAUCAGAACGGAGUUCAUACACCAGCAACCAAUCAGAACGGGGCUCAUACAUCACAAGCCAAUCAGAACGGGGCUCAUAUACCAGCAGCCAAUCAGAACGGAGCUCAUACACCAGCAGCCAAUCAGAAUGGAGCUCACUACAAUGGGAUUUCAUCGCAGACAGUGUAUUUAAAUGGCUCCUCCUCUACAGCUGAGGCGGGUCGGCCGGUCCGGACUGCGCUGUACAUGCUGGUCAGCGCCGCUGAGGGACUGAAGGAUGAAGGACUCAUCUACCUAGAAAGCCUCUGCUCUCCAGAAGAACUCCGUGGAUUAAAUUAUUUGGUGAAUCUUCUGACGGACAGCGAGAAGCCCCUCCCUCGUGACAGUCUGCCAGAUGUACUGCAGAGCGACGCCCAGUUCCUGAAGGUGGAGGCUCUGUUCCGAUUGGGCGGAGUUACCCUGAGGAGGGAGGGGCAGCUGUGGGCGGAGGUGGAGUCAGGCACUGAAUUCCUCCCAGCAGUGCUGUGUGUAGUCAUUCAUGGCCUCGCCUACCUGAGCCAGGAUCUAUAAUAGAUAANNNNNNNNNNNNNNNNNNNNNNNNNNNNNNNNNNNNNNNNNNNNNNNNNNAUAUCAUUUUAUAUUAUAUAAUACAUUUAUUUAAUAUCUAUGUUUUAUGUAAUACAUAGUUUAAGCAGUUAUAUUGCAUAAUAAUAUAUCUGGCGUGCUCUGAAGGAUGUGACCAUUUGAUAUGAUCCUUUAUUUGCUUGUCAAUAUUGAUAACAGCAUUGAUGUAUUAUUGAUAGAUGGAUGGAUUGGUUGGUUUGAUGGAUGCAUUGGUGGUUUGGUAUUGGUUGGUUGCAUGGAGGGAUGGUUUGAUGGAUGGAUGAAUGGCUGGAUGGAUGGUUUGAUAGGUCAUUGGAUGGAUAGUUUGGUAGAUGAUUAGAGAAAUAAAUGGGUGUUUCAUGGAUGGAUGGAUGGAUGG
rnacentral:lncRNA from 1 species